AUUGAUUCAAGAGGAAGAUUUAUAUGUAUAAUAACAUCCAUUAAAUAGUGGAGAAAUACUGUUAUUUUUGAGUUUUGUAAUGUUAUGUCGUAAAUAAUAAUUUUUUUUUCGCUUAAAUUGCAAACGCAGGCUGAACCCUACGAGAUUUAUCAAAAUAAUGUACUAAGUAUUGUACACAUUGAAAAGUUCUACAGAAAGCUCCGCUAUGGUAUAUGUCUAUCUCUUAUGGAUAUCCCAC
rnacentral:misc_RNA from 1 species